GGCGGCGGGGCGGGGAGCGCGGGGCCGCCGCCGCCGGGCCCGGGGCGCCGGGCAUUGUUCCGCCCGCCCGCCCGGCGGGAGCGGCCCAGGUGCCGCCGCCAAAGUUUAACCUCACUUCGAGGGGCCGCGGCCGGCGGGGCCGCCGCUCCCCUUCCCUCCCCGCGCCUCGCCUCGACUUCCAGCCGGCGGCGAGGGGCGAGUCACUUGGGGGAAGGAGCCCGGGCGCUGUGUCCCUCCAGCCCUGCUGUGUCAUUGCGGACCGGGGGACGGCUGCUCGCUGCCGAGCACUUGCUGUAGCUUUUCAGAGAGACUGAAAUGCAGCUGACCCGAAUAAAGCCUGUGUACUGAAACACCUGAUUUUCUUUUCUUUGAGGGCAUCUACACUGAAGCAUUCUGGAUUUAAUUUGGCAUGGUGCCUUUGACUGAUUACAAAAUCUGCUGCUGAAGCAACUUCUUGAGGUGGUGGAAGACCUAUGGUUGUGGAUCCUUUGCACAUAUAAAUGUUAUUGUGUGUGUCUGUUUGAGCAUGGUAGGAUAUUUAAUGUAUCAUAGAAACAAGUUUUGUAUCUCUGGUUUCAGUGUCCCUCUCAUCAUAGAGCCUUCCUUUCAAACAUGUUUUCCUUUGUUUGAGCCUUUAAAACAAGAAGAAAAAAACCCCCAAACCUUGAAAAAUUGUAAAACUCUAUGAAAAAUAUACACUAUUGUCAUCUUCCGGGGAAAAGGGGAACUUUACUGUGUCCGCUGUUGUUGUAAGUGAAAUGUGGUGUAUAGCAUGCUAAGUAACUGCUCAGUCAAAUGUCAGUGUAAAUUCAGAAAUCCUCAGAAGAGGAAAGAAAUAAAUAUUUUUUUUUCUCUAAAA